rnacentral:sRNA from 1 species
GACUUUCAGCUAAGGUAAGCAAUGUCUUUGAAAGGGUCAGUUAUAGAUUGAACUACUUGUUCUACUACUUUACCCCUUCUCACUGCUGUAUUUGACUAGUCUAAA